CCUGGUGGCGAGUGGCGAACGGGUGAGUAAUAUAUCGGAACGUACCCAGAAGUGGGGGAUAACGUAGCGAAAGUUACGCUAAUACCGCAUACGAUCUACGGAUGAAAGUGGGGGACCUUCGGGCCUCAUGCUUUUGGAGCGGCCGAUAUCUGAUUAGCUAGUUGGUGAGGUAAAGGCUCACCAAGGCGACGAUCAGUAGCUGGUCUGAGAGGACGACCAGCCACACUGGGACUGAGACACGGCCCAGACUCCUACGGGAGGCAGCAGUGGGGAAUUUUGGACAAUGGGCGCAAGCCUGAUCCAGCAAUGCCGCGUGAGUG
rnacentral:rRNA from 1 species